rnacentral:lncRNA from 1 species
UGCGAAGCUGAGCAUCCCUCCUCUGGCUCCAGUAAUUGGCUCCCUGGGCAGUCUGUUCCUUUCUCUCCACUAAAUUAAGCUCCUUCUCUUCGGGUCUUGAUUGUUAAAACACCCUAUUUGCCCAUGCCAUUUACAUAUUCCAAUUACCCACUGCCAUUUCCCUGCUAAUGAGCCCAUGUACCUGCGUUCAAGAGCCUCUGGCCCCGAGCCUGCUUGUGCAGGAGGGCUGAACGUGGCAGGCAAAGGCUAUUCAUCGUGUCUUCAGACGAGCAGUGCCGAGGCUGUUUUCUCACCUUCUUCUCUCCCUGCUGGACCAACUCUCCACAUAGCAGACCUUUGUGCCUCAUUACCUGCCCCCACAGACAUCACGAUGCCUUUACCUUAGUGACAAGAAGGAAAGCUCCAUGCCAACUGGAGAAGGGCUCCGUGUUCUUAUUGCGAUCAUAAAAGGCCCAUUGUACCCUUAGACAAUUACAUGCGCAGAGCCCAUUAAGUCCAAGGUCUUCCUAAUUUCCAUCACUGAAUUCUUCACAGAGGGGAAGCAGAUGCUUGGGUGCUAAGUAACUGGACACAGGAUAAUGAGUGGCUGCACAAUGAUGCUGAAUGGGGAGAACUCCGGCUUUGAGACAGCCUGCUCUGGGCAGGAAUCCUGUCUCUGAAAACAUUCAGAUUUUCCCCCAAGGCCCAGAAGAUGGUGUCCCCAUAUUGGAAACUUCUUCUUCAUGAUGAUAACAUUUUCCCCAGUGCACCAUCUGCUAGACUACAGCAAAGGGACCUCCAGCUGCACAGACGAAGGCGCUUCGUGUAACACUCAGGCUCCUGCUUAAAGAGAAGAGCAGUGUGUGAGGUCUCAUUGUCUGAACUUGAAUCCUGGCUUCACUAAUGAGUAGCUGUUUAACCUCAGGCAAACUGUGAAAUAUCUCUGAGCUUCAGUUUCCCGAUACCUGAAAUGGGGAUAAGAAUGCAUGUGUUAUAAUGUGGCCAUAAAAUGACAAAAGAAAUGUGGCAGGCCCAAUAUGGUGCCUGGCAUGUUGCAGGAGCUCUGAAAAUGCCAACUUGUCUCCCAUCCCUUCAACUGACUCAGAAGAACACCUGCUCUAGAGGCAGAGCAGCACGGAGUUCAACUCUUGGCUCUGCCACUUACUUGCUGUGACUUUGGGCAGAUGGUUCCAUCUCCCUUCGUUCUAUCAUAUAUAAAACGAAGGUGCUAGUACUACUUCUUGGUGUUGUUCUGAAGGAUUUAAGAGUGAUGAGCAUGGGGGGCUGCAAUACAGGUGCUCGAUCCACUGUUCUUACCACAUUAAUUGACGAUAAAACACUCAGGCCAAGUGAAGCUCAAAGAGAAGAUUGACAAAGAUCUUUGUAUGGGAUUUUGAACAGAACCUGCCUUAAAAGCAGGACUGACAUCAACAGGGGUUUGGACCAAGGGCUCUGGAUCUUGGGAGCCUGAUGAUCAGCUGAAAGGAGUAGUGUGAAAUGAUAAGAGAGCUCCUGCUUAAACAAGAAAUUGCAUGAACCCUAAUUUGGAAAAAUGUUAGUGGGAAGUCUUAUGUAUUUAUAUGCACUUCGGAAAGAUUUAUGCCAGUCUUAAUGGCUGGAGAUGUCCUUCAAAUUUUCCAUCCGCCUUGCAAUAGGUCUAAUGUGAUAACAAACAGGAAAUCGACUGGGCUAAGGGACAUGCAGUUCUGUUUUGA